rnacentral:rRNA from 1 species
UGGCUGUUCGCCAAUUAAAGCGGUACGCGAGCUGGGUUUAGAACGUCGUGAGACAGUUCGGUCCCUAUCCACCGUGGGCGUAAGAGACUUGAGAGAGGCUGUCCCUAGUACGAGAGGACCGGGAUGGACGAACCUCUGGUGUACCAGUUGUCAUGCCAAUGGCACUGCUGGCUAGCUACGUUCGGUAUGGAUAACCGCUGAAAGCAUCUAAGCGGGAAGCCAGUCUCAAGAUGAGGUCUCUCACUGGGUUAACCAGGUAAGGCCCCUCGUAGACUACGAGGUUGAUAGGCUGCAGGUGUACGCACAGUAAUGUGUUCAGCCGAGCAGUACUAAUAGGCCGAGGUCUUGAUCUU